rnacentral:rRNA from 1 species
ACCUACGGGGGGCAGCAGUGGGGAAUAUUGCGCAAUGGGGGAAACCCUGACGCAGCAACGCCGCGUGAGUGAUGAAGGCCUUCGGGUCGUAAAGCUCUGUCUUCGCUGACGAUAAUGACGGUAAGCGAGGAGGAAGCCACGGCUAACUACGUGCCAGCAGCCGCGGUAAUACGUAGGUGGCGAGCGUUGUCCGGAAUUACUGGGCGUAAAGGGUGCGUAGGCGGAAGCUUAAGUCAGAUGUGAAAUACCUGGGCUCAACUUAGGGAUUGCAUUUGAAACUGGGUUUCUAGAGUGCAGGAGAGGAAAGCGGAAUUCCUAGUGUAGCGGUGAAAUGCGUAGAUAUUAGGAAGAACACCAGUGGCGAAGGCGGCUUUCUGGACUGUAACUGACGCUGAGGCACGAAAGCGUGGGGAGCAAACAGGAUUAGAUACCCGUGUAGUCCA